rnacentral:rRNA from 1 species
UUUGCCUUUUAAUUGGAGGCUAGUAUGAACGGAUAAACGAGAAUAUGGCUGUCUCACUACCAGCAAUGAAAAUUAACCUUCAAGUGAAGAGGCUUGAAUUAUAUAAAAAGACGAAAAGACCCUAUGGAGCUUUACUUACAUAGAGAACGAGGCACAAUAAAAAAACUGCUAAACUCCUAAAUAGUUCAGUUGGGGCGACUGAGGAGCACUAUUAAAGCCCCCUCAACACACAAGAAAAUAAAUCUAUUAAAAAUCCACAAACGUGAAUAAAGAAUCAGCUACCCUAGGGAUAACAGGCUAAUCCUUCUCGAGAGCCCA